UUUAUUGGCGGCCAAGAGCCCUGCGGCCCACCCACCACGCGCCCUCCCGCCGGGGCUCAGAAGAUCUUCACGAGCUCCAGCUGCAGGUCGCCGCCCACCUCCACCGCACGCACGCGCGUCGGCGGCAUCCGGUGGCGGAAGUGGUGGUAUUCCAGGUCCCCGACCACCACCUGCAGGCGCGGGGAAGCAGGACUUAAGAGUCAUCCCCGACUCCCCCCCACGCCUUGUGACCCGGGCGCCCACGGAACCCCGCCAGGGCCCAAGGGCCCCACUGGGGAAACGGGGCUACUGUUUUCUGUCCCUUUGCCGUGAGGAUUAAAUGAGUUCAUCGCUGACACAUCCUCCCAGAGGACGUCCGGAGUCCUGAAAAUAGACAGACCUGGGCGGCCACCACCCCAGUCGUUUCAGCCCCUCAAACAGCCAGCCCCCCUCCACCUGCCCCGGGAAGCUGUCAUUCCUCAGCAACCAGGAGCCGCCGGGCUCACCUGCAGGAGAACACAGAGGGUUGAGCAGCGGGCUGUCGGCAGACCUUCCCUCCUUCAGAAAUCAUCCAGCCCAAAAGUGCCACCUGCACCCACGGGGGUUGUAGGAACUGACAAUCCCGGGCUCUGUCCGCUUCUUGGUGACGGCAGGUUGGGUUUUCAUUCACAGCGAAGAUAAUUCAGGGGCUGCUCUGGGUAUUGCGCGUCAGUUUACAACUGAGGAAAAUGACAAUUUAAAAAGUCUGACAUUUUUUUUAAGCUAGGAAGCCCACUGGAAACCUUUAGGUUCUAUUUAUAGGGUACAUUGUACCGAUACAGUCACUUGCUAUGGAAAAGCAUUUUCUGUCACGCUUGGUUCCAUUGAUCAACUGAGUUCAUUAAACCGUCUUGAAUAUUUUAAUCAGCA